AAACUGAAGAGUUUUGAUCAUGGCUCAGAUUGAACGCUGGCGGCAGGCCUAACACAUGCAAGUCGAGCGGAUGAAGGGAGCUUGCUCCCUGAUUUAGCGGCGGACGGGUGAGUAAUGCCUAGGAAUCUGCCUGGUAGUGGGGGAUAACGUUCCGAAAGGAACGCUAAUACCGCAUACGUCCUACGGGAGAAAGCAGGGGACCUUCGGGCCUUGCGCUAUCAGAUGAGCCUAGGUCGGAUUAGCUAGUUGGUGAGGUAAUGGCUCACCAAGGCGACGAUCCGUAACUGGUCUGAGAGGAUGAUCAGUCACACUGGAACUGAGACACGGUCCAGACUCCUACGGGAGGCAGCAGUGGGGAAUAUUGGACAAUGGGCGAAAGCCUGAUCCAGCCAUGCCGCGUGUGUGAAGAAGGUCUUCGGAUUGUAAAGCACUUUAAGUUGGGAGGAAGGGCAGUAAGUUAAUACCUUGCUGUUUUGACGUUACCGACAGAAUAAGCACCGGCUAACUUCGUGCCAGCAGCCGCGGUAAUACGAAGGGUGCAAGCGUUAAUCGGAAUUACUGGGCGUAAAGCGCGCGUAGGUGGUUYKKUAAGUUGGAKGUGAAAKCCCCGGGCUCAACCUGGGAACUGCAUCCAAAACUGGCGAGCUAGAGUACGGUAGAGGGUGGUGGAAUUUCCUGUGUAGCGGUGAAAUGCGUAGAUAUAGGAAGGAACACCAGUGGCGAAGGCGACCACCUGGACUGAUACUGACACUGAGGUGCGAAAAGCGUGGGGGAGCAAACAGGAUUAGAUACCCUGGUAGUCCACGCCGUAAAACGAUGUCAACUAGCCGUUGGAAUCCUUGAGAUUUUAGUGGCGCAGCUAACGCAUUAAGUUGACCGCCUGGGGGAGUACGGCCGCAAGGUUAAAACUCAAAUGAAUUGACGGGGGCCCGCACAAGCGGUGGAGCAUGUGGUUUAAUUCGAAGCAACGCGAAGAACCUUACCUGGCCUUGACA
rnacentral:rRNA from 1 species